UACGUAGGGUGCGAGCGUUAAUCGGAAUUACUGGGCGUAAAGCGUGCGCAGGCGGUUUUGUAAGUCUGUCGUGAAAGCCCCGGGCUUAACCUGGGAAUUGCGAUGGAGACUGCAAGGCUUGAAUCUGGCAGAGGGGGGUAGAAUUCCACGUGUAGCAGUGAAAUGCGUAGAGAUCCGGAAGAACACCGGAGGCGAAGGCGGCUUGCUGGGCUUGGUCUGACGCUGAGGCGCGAAAGCGUGGGGAGCGAACAGG
rnacentral:rRNA from 1 species